rnacentral:rRNA from 1 species
UGGGGAAUAUUGCGCAAUGGGGGAAACCCUGACGCAGCGACGCCGCGUGGGUGAUGAAGGCCUUCGGGUUGUAAAGCCCUGUCGACUGGGAACAAGUUAGUCGUGCUCAUACCACGAUUGAUUGAGUGUACCAGUAAAGGAAGCACCGGCUAACCCUGUGCCAGCAGCCGCGGUAAUACAGGGGGUGCUAGCGUUGUUCGGAAUUACUGGGCGUAAAGGGCGCGUAGGCGGCCUUGUAAGUCAGGAGUGAAAUCCCGGAGCUUAACUUCGGAAUUGCUUUUGAAACUACAAGGCUAGAGUGAGUUAGAGGAUGGCGGAAUUCCUAGUGUAGUGGUGAAAUACGUAGAUAUUAGGAAGAACACCGGUGGCGAAGGCGGCCAUCUGGGACUCAACUGACGCUGAGGCGCGAAAGCGUGGGGAUCAAACAG